GCGGACCCGCAGGCCAUAGCCGGGGGCGGGGAGAAAUGGCGUAGAAGGGGCGUGUUUACAGGAACCCGCACAUGGGACACUCUGUUCUACCCAGGAAACUGAAGCUCAGAGAUUUUGGGCCCCUAACCCAGAACACACAGCCAGGUGAAAGAGCAGGGAUUCUGCUCAAGACUAAAUCUGAGGUGGUCUGAUGGAGCAUACAAAAUCUCAACCCUACAUAUGCUCUUCUGAAAACCAAAUGAAACAAACAGUACAAAAACACCAGGCAUGAACAUGA